GGUUAGGCCCGGUUCAAAUUUCGUUCUAGGCCCCUUGUUUAAGCCUUUUCCUUUCUUUUUUUGCUUUUUCAAUAGCGGAGGAAAAGAAACCAACAGGGAUUGCCUCAGUAACGGCGAGUGAAGCGGCAAAAGCUCAAAUUUGAAAUCCCCCGGGAAUUGUAAUUUGAAGAGAUUUGGGUCCGGCCGGCAGGGGUUAAGUCCACUGGAAAGUGGCGCCACAGAGGGUGACAGCCCCGUGAACCCCUUUAACGCCCUCAUCCCAGAUCUCCAAGAGUCGAGUUGUUUGGGAAUGCAGCUCUAAGUGGGUGGUAAAUUCCAUCUAAAGCUAAAUACCGGCGAGAGACCGAUAGCGAACAAGUACAGUGAUGGAAAGAUGAAAAGCACUUUGAAAAGAGAGUGAAAAAGUACGUGAAAUUGUUGAAAGGGAAGGGCUUGCAAGCAGACACUUAACUGGGCCAGCAUCGGGGCGGCGGGGAGCAAAACCACCGGGGAAUGUACCUUUCGAGGAUUAUAACCCCGGCCCUUACUCCCACACCACCCCGAGGCCUGCAAUCUAAGGAUGCUGGCGUAAUGGUUGCAAGUCGCCCGUCUUGAACACGGGACCA
rnacentral:rRNA from 2 species